UGGGGAAUAUUGGACAAUGGGCGCAAGCCUGAUCCAGCCAUGCCGCGUGAGUGAUGAAGGCCCUAGGGUUGUAAAGCUCUUUUGUGCGGGAAGAUAAUGACGUACCGCAAGA
rnacentral:rRNA from 1 species